GCUGGGCCAGAUGGUUAAGUUGAAC
rnacentral:miRNA from 1 species